UGUCCAGACUCCUACGGGAGGCAGCAGUGGGGAAUAUUGCACAAUGGGGGAAACCCUGAUGCAGCGACGCCGCGUGAGCGAUGAAGUAUUUCGGUAUGUAAAUCUCUAUCAGCAGGGAAGAAAAUGACGGUACCUGACUAAGAAGCCCCGGCUAACUACGUGCCAGCAGCCGCGGUAAUACGUAGGGGGCAAGCGUUAUCCGGAUUUACUGGGUGUAAAGGGAGCGUAGACGGCAAUGCAAGCCAGAUGUGAAAGCCCGGGGCUCAACCCCGGGACUGCAUUUGGAACUGUGUAGCUGGAGUGUCGGAGAGGCAGGCGGAAUUCCUAGUGUAGCGGUGAAAUGCGUAGAUAUUAGGAGGAACACCAGUGGCGAAGGCGGCUUACUGGACUGUAACUGACGUUGAGGCUCGAAAGCGUGGGGAGCAAACAGGAUUAGAUACCCCGGUAA
rnacentral:rRNA from 1 species